UGAGCAAUCUGCCCUUCUCAUCGGAAUAAGCGUUGGAAACGACGUCUAAUGCCGAAUACGACCUCCUUUCGCAUGAUCGGAGGUGGAAAGCUCCGGCGGAGAAGGAUGAGCUCGCGGCCUAUCAGCUUAGUUGGUGUGGGUAACGCCACAAGACGACGACGGGUAGCCGGCCUGAGAGGGUGACCGGCCACACUGGGACUGAGACACGGCCCAGACCUCCCGUACGGGGA
rnacentral:rRNA from 1 species